GGGUCAGAAGGUUGGUCGUGCCACCGGUACGUACUGGUCUCACUGAUUCCUCCUUCCUGAAGAACCGUAAUGCCAUUAAUUUGGUGUUGCGGGGAAACAGGACUGUUACUUUGAAAAAAUUAGAGUGCUUAAAGCAAGCUAACGCUUGAAUACAUUAGCAUGGAAUAAUGAAAUAGGACGAUCGAUCCUAUUUUGUUGGUUUCUAGGAUUGACGUA
rnacentral:rRNA from 1 species